AUAGGGUGCAAGCGUUAAUCGGAAUUACUGGGCGUAAAGCGUGCGCAGGCGGUUUUGUAAGCCAGAUGUGAAAGCCCCGGGCUUAACCUGGGAAUGGCAUUUGGGACUGCAAGGCUGGAGUGCGGCAGAGGAGACUGGAAUUCCCGGUGUAGCAGUGAAAUGCGUAGAUAUCGGGAGGAAUACCGAUGGCGAAGGCAGGUCUCUGGGCUGACACUGACGCUCAUGCACGAAAGCGUGGGGAGCAAACAGGAUUAGAUACCCUGGUAGUCCACGCCCUAAACGAUGUCGACUGGUUGUUGGGGGUUUGACACUCUCAGUAACGAAGCUAACGCGUGAAGUCGACCGCCUGGGGAGUACGGCCGCAAGGUUA
rnacentral:rRNA from 1 species